rnacentral:tRNA from 1 species
GGGGAAGUGGCUCAGUGGUAGAGUGCUUGCCUUGCAUGCAUGAGGCCCUGGGUUCGAUUCUGAUUCCUCA